CACGUAGGGCGCGAGCGUUGUCCGGAAUUAUUGGGCGUAAAGAGCUCGUAGGCGGCCUGUUGCGUCCGCUGUGAAAGCCCGGGGCUUAACCCCCGGGUCGGCAGUGGAUACGGGCAGGCUAGAGGUAGGUAGGGGAGAUCGGAAUUCCUGGUGUAGCGGUGAAAAUGCGCAGAUAUCAGGAGGAACACCGAUGGCGAAGGCAGUUCUCUGGGCCGUAACUGACGCUGAGGAGCGAAAGCGUGGGGAGCGAACAGG
rnacentral:rRNA from 1 species